rnacentral:rRNA from 1 species
AAUCAACGCCGGCGGCGUGCCUAACACAUGCAAGUCGAGCGGGAAAGGGGGCUUCGGCCCCUGAGUAUAGCGGCGGACGGGUGAGUAACACGUGGGUAAUUUGCCCUUGGGUGUGGAAUAACUCAGGGAAACUUGAGCUAAUACCGCAUGACAUCCCCUUCACACACGAGUCGGGGAUCAAAGCCGGGGACCCUUCGGGGCCUGGCGCCUGAGGAGAAGCCCGCGCCCGAUUAGCUAGUUGGUGAGGUAAUGGCUCACCAAGGCUUCGAUCGGUAGCCGGCCUGAGAGGGGCGGACGGCCACACUGGGACUGAGACACGGCCCAGACUCCUACGGGAGGCAGCAGUGGGGAAUUUUUGUCAAUGGGGGAAACCCUGAACAAGCAACGCCGCGUGGAGGACGACGACCU